GAUGAAGAACGUAGCGAAAUGCGAUAAGUAAUGUGAAUUGCAGAAUUCCGUGAAUCAUCGAAUCUUUGAACGCACAUUGCGCCCUCUGGUAUUCCGGGGGGCAUGCCUGUUCGAGCGUCAUUUCACCACUCAAGCCUCGCUUGGUAUUGGGCAACGCGGUCCGCCGCGUGCCUCAAAUCGACCGGCUGGGUCUUCUGUCCCCUAAGCGUUGUGGAAACUAUUCGCUAAAGGGUGUUCGGGAGGCUACGCCGUAAAACAACCCCAUUUCUAAGGUUGACCUCGGAUCAGGUAGGGAUACCCGCUGAACUUAAGCAUAUCAAUAAGCGGAGGA
rnacentral:misc_RNA from 1 species